GAUUUCAACUGAAAAAGUUAUCAACAACAAAGAUGAAUAACUCAUCAAGAUCUAAAACUUUUAUUUCGGUCAUUUCUUCAUCCGACAAAGUAAUAGUAACAUUGUUCACAAAAUUGACAUAUCUCUUAUCUGAUUUUAUAAACUAUAACAUAUAUAAGUAAAAUUUGUGAACAAUAUUACAAAUAUUUUGUCGGAUAAAGAAAGAACAAAAAUAAAAGAAGAAAGAACAAAAAUAAAAGUUUUAGAUCUUGAUGAGUUAUACAAUUUUGUUAUUGAUGACUUUUUCAAUUGAAAUC
rnacentral:pre_miRNA from 1 species